AAUUUUUCACCAAUAUAAUCUGUCGCGGCUGAAAAAUUUACAGAGUCGCUACCAUCUUUCAUUCGUUCCUAAGGAUCAGGAAAAUAAUGAUAAAACCUAAGGUUAAGGGUGAGACCCAGGGUUUGGGAGUCGAUAAGUGAUGGGAAGGUGUUAGACACUCAUCACCUCCAUUAUACUCAAUGAGAUCCUCCUCUGAAUCUAGGGUUAGUGUGUUCGUCUAAGGGAAGUUUGCUUAUGCCAUUUAUUCUUGCUUAAUCUAU
rnacentral:lncRNA from 1 species